rnacentral:rRNA from 1 species
AUUGAACGCUGGCGGCAGGCCUAACACAUGCAAGUCGAGCGAGCGGCGGACGGGUGAGUAAUGUAUGGGGACUGCCCGAUAGAGGGGGAUCACUACUGGAAACGGUAGCUAAUCCCGCAUACUAUCGGAUAACCCAUAUGGGAUUAGCUAGUAGGUGAGGUAACGGCUCACCAAGGCAACGAUCCGUAGCCGGUUUGAGAGGACGACCAGCCACACUGGGAAUGAGACACGGCCCAGACUCCUACGGAGGCAGCAGUGGGGAAUUUUGGACAAUGGGGGAAACCCUGAUCAAGCCAUCCCGCGUGUAUGAUGAAGGCCUUCGGGUUGUAAAGUACUGUUGGCAGAGAAGCGGUAUCUGCAGAGUAAGCACCGGCUAACUACGUGCCAGCAGCCGCGGUAAUAC